rnacentral:tRNA from 462 species
GGAGAGGUGGCCGAGUGGUCGAAGGCGCUCCCCUGCUAAGGGAGUAGAGGUCAAAAGCUUCUCGUGGGUUCGAAUCCCAUCCUCUCCGCCA